GUCCUGCACGGGUCUGUCACAGACCAUUGUGACCUGGGCAGAUUGAUGGGCAGCAGUGGCAGGAAGCUGAAAGCUGGGAAAGAAAAAGCAGUUACUCUCCAGUUGUGGUCCUGUUCUCCUGGUUGUCCUUUUCCUGCAGUAGGAUUUGAUAUAUUCCUCACAGCCAGAUUUUAGCUUGCUGAGCUUCUCCAAGUAGGACAUUAUCCGCCUCCUCUCAGCAGCUCUAGAUGCCUCAGUGCCUACACCUGGUCGCGAAUUUGAUUCAGGAUGUAAAUCUGUGCAUCUACCCAUGCCCCCUAGACCAUCAGUGGACACAGAAUGAGCCUGUUUCUGCACUUGUUUAUGUGUCUAAAAUUAAAACCCGC
ensembl:lncRNA